rnacentral:ncRNA from 1 species
CGAAAAUAGAGUUGCAGGGUGGUGUCUCCUGCACCCGGGUACGGGAUCUUCUUCGCCACGG